AAAAAGUGCCUGAGAGCUUUAGUGGAUCUGCCUUUAUAAAAAGAAGCCUGUGGAAAUACUUUCAGAGAUGGGAAAAAAGCCUUUGCAAAGCAAAAUACACAAAUUAUUUCUGAGUUACAAGACCCAGGGACUUGGUGCUGACACAAAAAAUUCUGAACUGCUUUGGAAAAUGAAGGUUCCAGCUGCUACUAUGAUGCCAGAUGCCAACCUGACUUUUCUGGGCAGAUGACCUCACCAAUGUGUCCUGGAAACCCAUCCUAUCCAGACCCCUGACCCAUAGGGAAAAAGAGAGUCAGGCAGGUAGUAUGGAUUGACCUGCCAAUGCCCA